GAGGGUAUAGCUCAAGUGGUAGAGUGUGUGCUUAGCAUGCACAAGGUCUUGGAUUCAAUCCCCAAGAUCUCCA
rnacentral:tRNA from 1 species